rnacentral:lncRNA from 1 species
AGUGCCUCAGUUGUAGUUCCUUUUCCACUCUUGCCAGCAGUUACUUUGUUAUUUUCCCUCUCUGCUUUUUGUUUGCUGAUAUCAUUCAAGAUGCAUGUUUCACAUAUAUCUGAUCUUGGGAAGCCGAAGGAUGUAUUGUUUUCAUAUUGGAAGAUAUGCAAAUACGUACUGUAUGGCACACGAAUUUGGAAAUUAUUCACAAAAUCUCUGUGUAAAUCAGCAAUACACAGGCAAGAAUAUAAAUAUUUCUUUUUUUGUUUUUUUGAUAAUGAGUAAUGACAUGCCUAUGCAGGAAAUGACCUUAUGUGCUCAUUGAUGACUUUCCAGUUUUUCCCACAAUUGUCACCUGCUGGGCUUUCAAACUGAAGGACUUGUUUACAUAGACACAAUUGUUUAAUUCCAAAAAUGCUCAGAAAUGCUGCUUGGCAAACAGAUACAUUUCUUGACUGAACCUUUAUAACACAUGAAUACACUUUGCGUUGUUUGCCUGGAUUGUCCUUUCUUGGCCGUACCCUCUCUUCACAGGCAUUAGUUUGAUGAGCUCUUGUAAGUAGAGAUUCUGUUCUGCAUGACUGAGGCUGUUGAAGACUGUAGUUUGGAGUCAGAUAACUUCAACUUGCAUCUACAAUCUUCAGGAAUAGACUGCUGAAAAUAACUUGGAAAUAAAAUAAUAAUCUAGGUAUAGGAUUAAGGCACAAAUAUUUAACAAAUCUCUCUGGUAACAGUAACAAGCAAAGGAAGGGAAUUGUCCUAUGCCAAUUUGGAUCAAAGUUGUUUAUUAUUUAGAACCUGAUGAGUAAUGAUAAUAUGCAAAAUAUUAUGUCCCCAA